AAUGACCUAAGCCAUUUUGGUUUAAUUUGCCUACACAUAUAUGACCCUUAAUUUUCUUGUACACUAUCAAUGUGGGACAUGUUCCUACAAGUGAUAUUCCAACACUCCCCUUAAGUGGCAAUCGGAACAUCUGGUUAACACUUGAAACCUGAAACUGAAAUGCAGCAGCAACACCAGAAAAUUAAACUGAAACUGAAACCAGACCCUAAUCUACUCUUA
rnacentral:misc_RNA from 1 species